GAUGAAUAAUACACAAUACAAUAGACUGCAUAGUGUCGCAGGUACCCUCGUACUAAGUUCGAAGUUUACGUGAAAAACUACAAAGAAAAAUGAAAACAACCUUAGUAAAACAGUCAAAAUAAACAGAAAAUAUAUUCGAAUGACAUAUGAAUCAAGCACAAUAUCCGCACAAUACAAAAAACACAACAAAUUUACCUCUUUGGGCCAAUUACAUACUGAUCCAGUUCGUACAUUCGUUCGUUCACUGACAAGGGAG
rnacentral:lncRNA from 1 species